UACGUAGGGCGCAAGCGUAUCCGGAAUUAUUGGGCGUAAAGAGCUCGUAGGCGGUUUGUCGCGUCUGCCGUGAAAGUCCGGGGCUCAACUCCGGAUCUGCGGUGGGUACGGGCAGACUAGAGUGAUGUAGGGGAGACUGGAAUUCCUGGUGUAGCGGUGAAAUGCGCAGAUAUCAGGAGGAACACCGAUGGCGAAGGCAGGGUCUCUGGGCAUUAACUGACGCUGAGGAGCGAAAGCAUGGGGAGCGAACGGG
rnacentral:rRNA from 1 species